UAUAUGUCGGCGCAAGAAGCCGGCAGCCUCACCGCUUGACGCUCGUAACUGUCGUACCGCUUUUGUUUUGAUUUAGACCACAUGAGUAUUGUUAUUAAGUUCCGAUCUUCGUAAUGUAGCAGGGAUGGGAAGGGUGUCGUGCAGGGAAAGA
rnacentral:lncRNA from 1 species